GAAAAAAGAAAGGGCUUUCUCACCCACCAAAGAGCCCAAGAUUCUCUUCAGCUUGCCGUCUAAUCCCUUGGCUCAUGAAGAUUUGGUGGCGCGGCUUCAGUCUUGGUCCGCCGGUGAGGUUUGUCAAAAUCAAGCCAGAGCCAGGGAAGGUCAUCGAUCUCGUGGCCACAGGAAGAAGACGACGACAGAGAUCAACGACGUCGAAGCCGCUACUUUCUGAUACAGAACGUUGAGAAGGACGAUCAGAAACGCUCGGACGCCAUUGACGGACAGGUCAAAAGCUCUGAGGUUCCUCACGAGCUUCUCAACAUGUUGAAGGAGAUGAAGAGAGGCCUCGAUUCAUUUCCAGAGCAAAGAACAUAAGAGUGACGCCGUGGAAGUUCUCGAUUUCGGAUCUGCACACGUCUUGUUCGACGAAUUAAUUCAGAGAGUUCCUAAUUGCAUUGUUUCUCCUCCUUCCUCCAGUGUCACCACCGCGAUGGCGCCUGGGCAGGUUGUUUCUCCGGCGAGUUUGUUUCAUUCCAAUAAGGCUUCUAUCAAGUCUAAGGAAAUGUUGCACGCUAUGAUACGUUUGCGAUCAAGGUCAAGUCUUCGCUCGGUUUCUCAGUUCCUCGCAAACCUCUGGUUAAGGAUUCAACACUUGAGGAUAAGAAAGAUGAAGCCUAGCUUGAUUGAAGUAUCUGCCGCGAUGGGGAGUGGAUGAGUCUCAACGACCAGAGCAACACUGUUCUAUUAACGACGUUUAAACAAACCGCUGUCAAGUCGGAUCCAGAUGAUGUCGAGAUGCUUCGUUCCUCUACUUCAAGCCUUUAUACAGCUGGUGUUACUAAAUCAUGUCAAUGGAGCCAUUCUGGUCACAAGCACCACACCGAGAACUUCAAGCUUACCGUCCAUUGCGAGAUGAACCGGUUCUCUAUUUUCUCUGCUCUGUUACGUGAUGCUGGUAUCCUUGUCUUGUUGAAAAACAAGGAGGAGAUUGUUUGGGAAAGCCUGCUGAUACUUGCUUCUGAACCGAAAGCUGGAAGCUUUUAAGAUGCUUAGAGCUGCUAGUGAGAGCUCUAGGUCUAGUUAUUAUAGCCUUCACAUGGAGGGUUCAGGGAAGCUAGAGCUGAGGUGGGAGAGUAACAUCACGAUCUGUCUAGUUAUUAUAGCCUUACGACGAGACCACUAUAGCAAGCUCUGUCUUUUCCUUGCGACAAUAUCGCCAACACCAGCUCUGUCUCUUCCUUACGACAAGAUCGUUGUGUUCCAAGAAGCCCAAGUGCAACUCUGAUCUUUGCUUUUACAGUACGAUAUUCAAAUCAAGAAGCGGCUGCCACCAUCAUGUCCUCAUGCUUCGAAGGACAGCCCUCAGCUACGAGCUUGCCGGAACCGGUACAAGGGGAGCAAGCCAAAACGUUUCUCAACGUCAUCACAGCCUGACGAACAUACAAGCCAUCGGCACACACGAUCUCAACACGAGACUUUGGGUCGGCAAUAGUUCGAUAAUUGUGUUGCUGUUUCUUCCUUGAUUGAACGGCUCGGAACACUUACGUACUUGUUGUCAUACGAUUCUGUUCACACUCGAUUUUUCAAAAAUUUAAAUGUCUUAGAGUAAUGAUAAUCAUGCUAUGAGGCAGUGGAUGUACGCAAGAAUUUAUCCUAAUAUCAAUCAAGUCUCUAAUGCAUUUAUAGAAGGAUUGAAAUAUUUCUUGGUUGCUGCUAAAAACCAUGUUUUAUUUACUCAAAAGCAGAAAAUAUUUUACCCGUGUAGUAAGUGUGAGAAUAGAAAAUUUCUUGAUGAGCAAACAGUCGUCGGCCAUUUAUAUAACAGUUAGCCCAUUUUUAGUAAAGUUUUACACUCUUUCGGAUU